rnacentral:rRNA from 1 species
UGGGGAAUUUUGGACAAUGGGCGCAAGCCUGAUCCAGCCAUUCCGCGUGCAGGAUGAAGGCCCUCGGGUUGUAAACUGCUUUUGUACAGAACGAAAGGGGCUUGGUUAAUACCCAGGUCAUAUGACGGUACUGUAAGAAUAAGCACCGGCUAACUACGUGCCAGCAGCCGCGGUAAUACGUAGGGUGCAAGCGUUAAUCGGAAUUACUGGGCGUAAAGCGUGCGCAGGCGGUUUUGUAAGACCGAUGUGAAAUCCCCGGGCUCAACCUGGGAACUGCAUUGGUGACUGCAAGGCUGGAGUGCGGCAGAGGGGGAUGGAAUUCCGCGUGUAGCAGUGAAAUGCGUAGAUAUGCGGAGGAACACCGAUGGCGAAGGCAAUCCCCUGGGCCUGCACUGACGCUCAUGCACGAAAGCGUGGGGAGCAAACAGGAUUAGAUACCCUGGUAGUCCACGCCCUAAACGAUGUCAACUGGUUGUCGGGAAAUUAUUUCUCAGUAACGAAGCUAACGCGUGAAGUUGACCGCCUGGGGAGUACGGCCGCAAGGUUG